rnacentral:rRNA from 1 species
UACGUGUGAGGCGAGCGUUAUUCGUCAUUAAUGGGUCUAAAGGGUACGUAGGCGGCUUACUAAGUCAGGGGUGAAAUCCUGGAGCUCAACUCCAGAACUGCCUUUGAUACUGGUGAGCUUGAGUCCGGAAGAGGUGAGUGGAACUGCGAGUGUAGAGGUGAAAUUCGUAGAUAUUCGCAAGAACACCAGUGGCGAAGGCGGCUCACUGGUCCGGUACUGACGCUGAGGUGCGAAAGCGUGGGGAGCAAACAGG